ACGGAAGGCAGCAGUGGGGAAUAUUGCACAAUGGGCGAAAGCCUGAUGCAGCGACGCCGCGUGAGUGAUGAAGUAUUUCGGUAUGUAAAGCUCUAUCAGCAGGGAAGAUAAUGACGGUACCUGACUAAGAAGCACCGGCUAAAUACGUGCCAGCAGCCGCGGUAAUACGUAUGGUGCAAGCGUUAUCCGGAUUUACUGGGUGUAAGGGGAGCGCAGGCGGUACGGCAAGUCUGAUGUGAAAGCCCGGGGCUCAACCCCGGUACUGCAUUGGAAACUGUCGAACUAGAGUGUCGGAGGGGUAAGUGGAAUUCCUAGUGUAGCGGUGAAAUGCGUAGAUAUUAGGAGGAACACCAGUGGCGAAGGCGACUUACUGGACGAUAACUGACGCUGAGGCUCGAAAGCGUGGGGAGCAAACAGGAUUAGAUACCCUGGUA
rnacentral:rRNA from 1 species